rnacentral:tRNA from 1 species
GCAGAGGUGGCGGAGUGGUCAAACGCGCAAGCCUGGAAAGCUUGAGCCUCGUGCUACGCGAGUUCGAAUCUCGUCCUCUGCG